AGUGAGCGCUGGCGGUAGGCCUAACACAUGCAAGUCGAACGGCAGCACAGUAAGAGCUUGCUCUUACGGGUGGCGAGUGGCGGACGGGUGAGGAACACAUCGGAAUCUACUUUUUCGUGGGGGAUAACGUAGGGAAACUUACGCUAAUACCGCAUACGACCUACGGGUGAAAGCAGGGGAUCUUCGGACCUUGCGCGAUUGAAUGAGCCGAUGUCGGAUUAGCUAGUUGGCGGGGUAAAGGCCCACCAAGGCGACGAUCCGUAGCUGGUCUGAGAGGAUGAUCAGCCACACUGGAACUGAGACACGGUCCAGACUCCUACGGGAGGCAGCAGUGGGGAAUAUUGGACAAUGGGCGCAAGCCUGAUCCAGCCAUACCGCGUGGGUGAAGAAGGCCUUCGGGUUGUAAAGCCCUUUUGUUGGGAAAGAAAAGCAGCAGGUUAAUACCCCGCUGUUCUGACGGUACCCAAAGAAUAAGCACCGGCUAACUUCGUG
rnacentral:rRNA from 1 species